GAUGAAGAACGCAGCGAAAUGCGAUAAGUAAUGUGAAUUGCAGAAUUCAGUGAAUCAUCGAAUCUUUGAACGCACAUUGCGCCCCUUGGUAUUCCGAGGGGCAUGCCUGUUCGAACGUCAUUACACCACUCAAGCUAUGCUUGGUAUUGGGCGUCGUCCUUAGUUGGGCGCGCCUUAAAGACCUCGGCGAGGCCACUCCGGCUUUAGGCGUAGUAGAAUUUAUUCGAACGUCUGUCAAAGGAGAGGAACUCUGCCGACUGAAACCUUUAUUUUUCUAGGUUGACCUCGGAUCAGGUAGGGAUACCCGCUGAACUUAAGCAUAUCAAUAAGCGGAGGA
rnacentral:misc_RNA from 1 species